rnacentral:rRNA from 1 species
GUGCCAGCAGCCGCGGUAAUACCGGCAGCCCGAGUGAUGGCCGAUAUUAUUGGGCCUAAAGCGUCCGUAGCUGGCCGAACAAGUCCGUCGGGAAAUCCACUCGCCCAACGAGUGGGCGUCCGAUGGAAACUGCACAGCUUGGGACCGGAAGGCUCGAAGGGUACGUUCGGGGUAGGAGUGAAAUCCCAUAAUCCCGCACGGACCACCGAUGGCGAAAGCACUCUGAGAAGACGGCUUCGACAGUGAGGGACGAAAGCUCGGGUCUCAAACCGGAUUAGAAACCCAGUAGUCC